ACACGUAGUUAACAUACCCUCGAGCCCGUAAUAACCUCGGGAAACUGAGGCUAAUGACGGAUAGAUGAUGAUUUCUGCAAUGAUUUAUCGUUGAAAAUUAGCGCGAGGAUUGGACUGCGGCUGAUUAGGUAGUUGGCGGGGUAAUUGCCCACCAAGCCUAUGAUCAGUAAGGGCCUUUAGCGAGGAAGCCCUGAGAGGGAGUCUGAGACACUACUCCCAGCCCUACGGGGUGCAGCAGUCGGGAAAUUUCUGCAAUGCGCGCAAGCGUGACAGAGCAAGCCAGAGUGUUAUUCAAUUUUUGAAUAACUUUUGUGAGAUGCAAAAAGUCUCACGAAUAAGGACUGGGCAAGACUGGUGCCAGCCGCCGCGGUAAUCCCAGCAGUCCAAGUCGCAGCCACAAUUAUUGGGUCUAAAACAUCCGUAGCUUGCUUUGUAAGUUCUUUGUGAAAUCUGGCCUCUUAAGGGUCGGGCGAGCAAAGAAUACUGCUUGGCUAGAGACCGGUAGACGCAUCAAGUACUAAAAGGGUAGCGGUAAAAUGUGUUGAUCCUUUUGGGACUAACAACAGCGAAGGCAUGAUGCGAGCACGGUUCUGACAGUGAGGGAUGAAGGCUAGGGGCGCAAAGUGGAUUAGAUACCCAUGUAGUCCUAGCAGUAAACACUGCACACUAAACAUUAGUACCUCUUCGAGAG
rnacentral:rRNA from 1 species